rnacentral:rRNA from 1 species
UACGGGGGGGGGUAAGCGUUGUUCGGAAUUACUGGGCGUAAAGGGCUCGUAGGCGGCCAACUAAGUCAUACGUGAAAUCCCUCAGCUUAACUGGGGAACUGCGUGUGAUACUGGAUGGCUUGGAUUUGGGAGAGGGAUGCGGAAUUCCUGGUGUAGCGGUGAAAUGCGCAGAUAUCAGGAGGAACACCGGUGGCGAAGGCGGGUCUCUGGGCCGAUACUGACGCUGAGGAGCGAAAGCGUGGGGAGCGAACAGG